rnacentral:rRNA from 1 species
AUUGAACGCUGGCGGCAGGCCUAACACAUGCAAGUCGAACGAGCGGCGGACGGGUGAGUACUGUUUGGGAAUCUAGCUUAUGGAGGGGGAUAACUACGGGAAACUGUAGCUACUAACGCGUACUAUAGGAUGUGCCCAUGUGGGAUUAGGUAGUUGGUGGGGUAAAGGAUCACCUAGGCGACGAUCUCUAGCUGGUCUGAGAGGAUGAGCAGACACACUGGGACUGGGACACGCCCCAGACUCCAACGGGAGGCAGCAGUGGAGAAAAUUGCACAAUGGGAGCAAGCUGACGCAGCCAUGCCGCGGGAAUGAAGAAGGCCUUCGGGUUGUAAAGUUCUUUCGGUAGGGAGGCGUUAACAACAGAAGAAGCACCGGCUAACUCCGUGCCAGCAGCCGCGGUAAUUC